UACGGGGGGAGCAAGCGUUGUUCGGAUUUACUGGGCGUAAAGGGCGCGUAGGCGGCGCAACAAGUCACUUGUGAAAUCUCCGGGCUUAACCCGGAGCGGUCAAGUGAUACUGUCGUGCUAGAGUGCGGAAGGGGCUACUGGAAUUCUCGGUGUAGCGGUGAAAUGCGUAGAUAUCGGAGAGGGAACACCUGGCGGCGAAGGCGGGUAGCUGGGCCGACACU
rnacentral:rRNA from 1 species